CCGGGCGGGCGGCCGGGCGGGCUCCGGGGGGCGCUGCUGGCCCGUGUCUGCCGCCGAGCUAAUCGCGUCUUCGGCCUGCAGGGAGCGGCCCCGCCCCUAAGGGCGAGGCCGACGUGGAUACCCCGGGGACAGCUUUGCUUCGCUUUUCAGUGACUGCCUGAGCUGGAGACUUCACAGCCCUCCUCUGAGACCGCUGCUCUUUUGUAUAAGCGAAUAUAUUUGCAUGUGGAGAAUGUAGACAUUUUGCUUGUCCAUCCUGCUCUCCUGCCCCUGGGGCAUAAAUAUCUCUGAGCCGGUCCUUUCCUGGAUGGAGACAGAGACGUGAGAUCGUGGCUCCUACGGUAAUCCCAUUCUUAACUCCUUGAGGGACUGCCCUGCUUUCUGUCGGGGCUGCCCCGUGUGACAUUCCGCCCACCAGUGCGUGAGCGUUCCGGCCACUCCCGCGUCCUCACCAGCGUGUGCUGUUUUCUGGGUUUUUGGUAGCAGCCGUCCCGGUGGGUGUGCGGAGGUGUGGCAUGACAGCUUUGAACUGCGCUUCUCCGAUGAUUGGUGAUGCUGAGCAAGACUUCACGCGCUUACCGCCCCUUCGUGUAUCUUUGGAGAAAUAUCUACUCAGGUCCUUGGUCCACUGUUUUAGGAAAUAAAUGUGGGAGGCAGAGGGAGAACUCCCGUCCACUGGCAGCAUGCUCUGGACCGGAUUGCCGCUGAGCUUCGGAAGCCUGUGUUUCCUGGAUGUUAAUCAGAUUUACGACGUGCACACGUUUUCUCUCAUUGAGACUGUUUUUGUUUUGAGGCCGGCGUUGUGGCGUAGCUAGUAAAGCUGCCACCUGUGACGCUGGCAUCCUCCAGGGGCGCCGGUUCACGUCCCAGCUGCUGUACUUCCGAUCCAGCUCCCUGCCAGCGUGUCUGGGAAAAGCAGCCCAAGUGUUUGGGCCCCUGCCACCCAUGUGGGAGACCCGGAUGAGGCUUCUGGCUCCUGGCCAGCCUGGCCCCGCUCCAGCUGUCGCUGCUGUUUGGGGAAUGAACCAGCGGAUGGAAGAUCGCUGUCUCUCCCCCCUUCUCGCUAACUCUGACUUUCAAAUAAUAAAUAAAUAAGUAAAUAAUAAAGA